rnacentral:rRNA from 1 species
GACGAACGCUGGCGGCGUGCUUAACACAUGCAAGUCGAACGGAAAGGCCCUGCUUUUGUGGGGUGCUCGAGUGGCGAACGGGUGAGUAACACGUGAGUAACCUGCCCUUGACUUUGGGAUAACUUCAGGAAACUGGGGCUAAUACCGGAUAGGAGCUCCUGCUGCAUGUUGGUUGUUGGAAAGUUUCGGCGGUUGGGGAUGGACUCGCGGCUUAUCAGCUUGUUGGUGGGGUAGUGGCUUACCAAGGCUUUGACGGGUAGCCGGCCUGAGAGGGUGACCGGCCACAUUGGGACUGAGAUACGGCCCAGACUCCUACGGGAGGCAGCAGUGGGGAAUAUUGCACAAUGGGCGGAAGCCUGAUGCAGCAACGCCGCGUGCGGGAUGACGGCCUUCGGGUUGUAAACCGCUUUCGCCUGUGACGAAGCGUGAGUGACGGUAAUGGGUAAAGAAGCACCGGCUAACUACGUG